GGAGGCACUGGAGACAAAGAUCAGCCACGUGGCAGUCAACCAUGUCUAUCUGACCAAGUUCCAAUGAAAACUCUGGACACCAAGGCUUGGGAGAUAUUUCUCAAAAGACUCCUCUGCGGGAGAGGAGAAUAGCUGUACUCUAAGCAGUUCGCAGGGAGCAUCUUUCAGCAGCUGAAACAGCUUUGCGGCCUUGCUGUAAUGAAGAUCUGCCAGCACCCGGUGUUGUUUCCUAAGGUGUUCAUCACCAACCUAGAACCAAACCAAAACAAGCAACAAAUCCUUCACGGGUCUCGCUCUGUCGCCCAGGCUGGAGAUGCAGUGGUGCAAUCCUGGCUCACUGCAACCUCCGCCUCCUGAACUCAAGCAAUUCCCCUGCCUCAGCCUCCCAAGUUGCUGGGAUUACAGGCACCCGCCACUACUGCUUGGCUAAUUUUUUAAUUUUUUUCUGGGGUUUUGUCAUGUUGGCUAGGCUGCUCUCUAACUCCCGACCUCAAAUGAUCCAACCACCUCGGCUCCCAAAGUGCUGGGAUUACAGGCAUGAACUGGAGAAGAUUUCUUUCCACUUCGACUUAGGAAGUCCUCAACCAAAAUUCAGGUUUGCCCAGAUGGCCUAAUAUCCUGAGGGCAAAAGCAAGCUUAAGGGUGCCAAGACAAUGCAGCAGAGGAGUAGUCUUUUCAGCAAAUGGUGCUGGGACAACUAGAUAUCUAUAUG
ensembl:lncRNA EDRF1-AS1 EDRF1 antisense RNA 1